GACGAACGCUGGCGGCGUGCUUAACACAUGCAAGUCGAACGGAAAGGCCCUGCUUUUGUGGGGUGCUCGAGUGGCGAACGGGUGAGUAACACGUGAGUAACCUGCCCUUGACUUUGGGAUAACUUCAGGAAACUGGGGCUAAUACCGGAUAGGAGCUCCUGCUGCAUGGUGGGGGUUGGAAAGUUUCGGCGGUUGGGGAUGGACUCGCGGCUUAUCAGCUUGUUGGUGGGGUAGUGGCUUACCAAGGCUUUGACGGGUAGCCGGCCUGAGAGGGUGACCGGCCACAUUGGGACUGAGAUACGGCCCAGACUCCUACGGGAGGCAGCAGUGGGGAAUAUUGCACAAUGGGCGGAAGCCUGAUGCAGCAACGCCGCGUGCGGGAUGACGGCCUUCGGGUUGUAAACCGCUUUCGCCUGUGACGAAGCGUGAGGGACGGUAUGGGUAAAGAAGCACCGGCUAACUACGUG
rnacentral:rRNA from 1 species